rnacentral:rRNA from 1 species
UAAUGUAUGGGGAUCUGCCCGAUAGAGGGGGAUAACUACUGGAAACGGUGGCUAAUACCGCAUAAUGUCUACGGACCAAAGCAGGGGCUCCUUCGGACCUUGCACUAUCGGAUGAACCCAUAUGGGAUUAGCUAGUAGGUGGGGUAAAGGCUCACCUAGGCGACGAUCUCUAGCUGGUCUGAGAGGAUGAUCAGCCACACUGGGACUGAGACACGGCCCAG